AUGGACUUUGAAAUAGCAGAGACUUCUGCCAGGACAGGAGAUACGGGUCAAUGGGCACCACAGUUAGAGAAGAUUGGCAGGAUCAACCUGUUCUAUCAUAUUGGUGUCCUGUCCAAGGUGCAGCUGCAGGAAUCAGGACCAGGACUGGUGAAGCUCUCACAGACUCUGUCCCUCACCUGUGCUGUCUCUGGUGCCUCAAUCAGCAGUUAUGAUUGCAGCUGGAUCCGCCAGCCUCCAGGGAAAAGCCUUGAGUGGAUGGGAUACAUAAGUUCUAGUGGAGGCACAAGCUACAACCCAUCCCUCAAGAGCUGCAUCUCCAUUUCCAGGGACACGUCUGAGAAUCAGUUCUACCUACAGCUGAGCUCUGUGACCUCAGAGGACAGAGCCACAUAUUACUGUACAAGUGACACAGUGAGCGGAACUCAGUGUGAGCCCUGA